GAUGAACGCUGGCGGCGUGCCUAAUACAUGCAAGUCGAGCGAACGGACGAGAAGCUUGCUUCGCUGAUGUUAGCGGCGGACGGGUGAGUAACACGUGUAUAACCUACCUAUAAGACUGGGAUAACUUCGGGAAACCGGAGCUAAUACCGUAUGAUAUUUUGAACCGCAUGGUUCAAAAGUGAAAGACGGUCUUGCUGUCACUUAUAGAUGGAUCCGCGCUGCAUUAGCUAGUUGGUAAGGUAACGGCUUACCAAGGCAACGAUGCAUAGCCGACCUGAGAGGAUGAUCGGCCACACUGGAACUGAGACACGGUCCAGACUCCUACGGGACGCAGCAGUAGGGAAUCUUACGCAAAGGGCGAAAGCCUGACGGAGCAACGCCGCGUGAGUGAUGAAGGUCUUCGGAUCGUAAAACUCUGUUAUUAGGGAAGAACAUAUGUGUACGUAACUGUGCACAUCUUGACGGUACCUAAUCAGAAAGCCACGGCUAACUACGUG
rnacentral:rRNA from 1 species